rnacentral:rRNA from 1 species
UACCAGCCCCCCGAGUGGUCGGGACGAUUAUUGGGCCUAAAGCAUCCGUAGCCGGUCUUGCAAGUCUUCCGUUAAAUCCACCUGCUUAACAGAUGGGCUGCGGAAGAUACUACAAGACUAGGAGGCGGGAGAGGCAAGCGGUACUCAGUGGGUAGGGGUAAAAUCCUCUGAUCCAUUGAAGACCACCAGUGGCGAAGGCGGCUUGCCAGAACGCGCUCGACGGUGAGGGAUGAAAGCUGGGGGAGCAAAC